CAGUAGCCACGGUAAUACGGAGGGUGCAAGCGUUAAUCGGAAUUACUGGGCGUAAAGCGCACGCAGGCGGUCUGACAAGUCAGAUGUGAAAUCCCCGGGCUUAACCUGGGAACUGCAUUUGAAACUGUCAGGCUGGAGUCUUGUAGAGGGGGGUGGAAUUCCAGGUGUAGCGGUGAAAUGCGUAGAGAUCUGGAGGAAUACCGGUGGCGAAGGCGGCCCCCUGGACAAAGACUGACGCUCAGGUGCGAAAGCGUGGGGAGCAAACAGGAUUAGAUACCCGAGUAGUCCCUGUCUCUAUACA
rnacentral:rRNA from 1 species